GAACGCUAGCGGCAUGCCUAACACAUGCAAGUCGAACGGCAACGGGGGGAGCUUAGCUCCCUGACGGCAAGUGGCGGACGGGUGAGUAAUACGUAGGAAUCUACCUUAUAGUGGGGGAUAACCUGGGGAAACUCAGGCUAAUACCGCAUAAUCUUUCUUUAAAGCAAAGCGGGGGAUCUUCGGACCUCGUGCUAUAAGAUGAGCCUGCGUCGGAUUAGCUAGUUGGUAGGGUAAUAGCCUACCAAGGCAACAAUCCGUAGCUGGUCUGAGAGGACGAUCAGCCACACUGGGACUGAGACACGGCC
rnacentral:rRNA from 1 species